UACGUAGGGCGCAAGCGUUAUCCGGAAUUAUUGGGCGUAAAGAGCGUGUAGGCGGCCUGGAAGGUCAGCUGUGAAAACUCGAGGCUCAACCUCGAGACGUCGGUUGAAACCACUUGGCUAGAGUCCGGAAGAGGAGUGUGGAAUUCCCGGUGUAGCGGUGAAAUGCGCAGAUAUCAGGAGGAACACCGAUGGCGAAGGCAGCUCGCUGGGACGGUACUGACGCUGAGACGCGAAAGCGUGGGGAGCAAACAGG
rnacentral:rRNA from 1 species